AGCGGCGAGGCUAUUCAAGUAA
rnacentral:miRNA from 2 species